GGUGGCUCAAUGGUAGAGCACUUGCCUCACAUGCAUGAGGCCCUGGGUUCGAUUCCUCAGCACCA
rfam:Dipodomys ordii contig_17739, whole genome shotgun sequence.